UGGGGAAUAUUGCACAAUGGGGGGAACCCUGAUGCAGCCAUGCCGCGUGUGUGAAGAAGGCCUUCGGGUUGUAAAGCACUUUCAGUUGUGAGGAAAAGUUAGUAGUUAAUACCUGCUAGCCGUGACGUUAACAACAGAAGAAGCACCGGCUAUCUCCGUGGCAGCAGCCGCGGUAAUACGGAGGGUGCGAGCGUUAAUCGGAAUUACUGGGCGUAAAGCGCACGCAGGCGGUUUGUUAAGCUAGAUGUGAAAGCCCCGGGCUCAACCUGGGAUGGUCAUGUAGAACUGGCAGACUAGAGUCUUGGAGAGGGGAGUGGAAUUCCAGGUGUAGCGGUGAAAUGCGUAGAUAUCUGGAGUAACAUCAGUGGCGAAGGCGACUCCCUGGCCAAAGACUGACGCUCAUGUGCGAAAGUGUGGGUAGCGAACAGGAUUAGAUACCCGUGUAGUCC
rnacentral:rRNA from 1 species